AAUCAACGCUGGCGGCGUGCCUCAGACAUGCAAGUCGAACGAUUAAACUUUCCUUCGGGAAAGAUAUAAAGUGGCGCACGGGUGAGUAACACGUAAGUAAUCUACCUUUGAGUGGGGAAUAACGUUCGGAAACGAACGCUAAUACCGCAUAAUGCAGCGGCACCUAAUGGUGACAGUUGUUAAAGGAGCAAUCCGCUUAAAGAGGAGCUUGCGGCAGAUUAGCUAGUUGGUAAGGAACGGCUUACCAAGGCUACGAUCUGUAACCGGUCUAAGAGGACGGUCGGUCACACUGGCACUGAAUAACGGGUCAGACUCCUACGGGAGGCAGCAGUCGGGAAUUUUGGGCAAUGGGCGAAAGCCUGACCCAGCAACGCCGCGUGAAGGAUGAAGUAUUUCGGUA
rnacentral:rRNA from 1 species